UCUCUGUCAUUAACCAUUUGGCCUCAAGAUGCCUUUAUUAUUACUUACUUAGGUCAAAAUAACUAAUGGGAACUGGGGUUUUCGGCGCAUAAUACGCGAGGAUAAACCGCCAAUGGAGUGGCUCUAUUCUCUUGGGCUCGGUGGGUAUUGUACCAUUGGAUUACAUAAAGGGGAAUGCUUCUACAGCUAUCCAACAUCUUACCCAUUGCUCCAAGUACUGAAGAUAUCAAUAUGGUUGUAGCAUUGCGAAAGCUUACCUACUCAAUUGGGACAUCUUAUACAAAUAUGGGGAAGAUAAGGGAGUGAAUGAAAGAUAAAAUUGAAGCCCCAACUAAGAGCUUAGAUAAAAUUGUACGAGGUAAUUGAUAAGUCAAAAAGGUCUUCAACUCAAAUUCUACCCUUCUUUGAUUAAGAAAGGAUUGAAGAUUGUGAAAUUAAAUCCCACAGAACUCGAGCAACAGUGUAAAAACUGAAAAAAAAUGGAGGUAAUCCUACCGUUAAAGACAUAUGUUGAAGAAGAUGGAGGUAACCUUAACCUUAGAGAUACGCUGAAAUUAGUCUAUGGGGUUCAGAACACAAUGUCUACACCUAGGAUGUACCUCCACGAUGACGAUUGUUUUAUGUUUAAGUUCAAAUCUGAGAGUGACAAGGAGAAAGUACU
rnacentral:lncRNA from 1 species